CACGGGGGGAGCAAGCGUUGUUCGGAUUCAUUGGGCGUAAAGAGCUCGUAGGCGGCUCUGUAAGUCGGGGGUGAAAGACCACGGCUCAACCGUGGGAACGCCUUCGAUACUGUGGAGCUUGAGGCCGGGAGAGGAAAAUGGAAUUCCUGGUGUAGCGGUGAAAUGCGUAGAUAUCAGGAGGAACACCAGUGGCGAAGGCGAUUUUCUGGACCGGUUCUGACGCUGAGGAGCGAAAGCCAGGGGAGCAAACAGG
rnacentral:rRNA from 1 species